ACUUAGUCACGUGCUAUUUUUGGUUUUACGAGUUACGAGACCGACCCAAGAAAGCUGAAGUCCGACUCCAAUGUCAAUGGACUGGCUUUUGUGGUCCUUGGCCGUAAACGUUAGCUAUAAGAUGUAUUAUUUAACAUUGGUUCUCGCGUAAACUACAAGUACUUGUCUAGCUGGUUUGAGUACAAAUUCCCUCUUUAAUUUGGUCCGAAUUUCUCUUCAAGGCGUUCACGUAGCGCCUCGUCACUGUGAGGAAAGUUCUGGCAACAGAAUAAAUAUGUUUGCGAUUGGAGUGGACCAGGACCCCUUCAAAAGUGCAACAUUCCCUUGUGCUUCCUCUGUGCCCUAACAUCCCAGAUUGUACUUUGAAAGCUGCUCACUUGAAGAGCUGAAACUCUUGGAAAGGAGUCAUGCGGGGAUUUUUGGCUUGACUCAAGGGACCAGUCCAUCAGGGAAGCAGGUCAGUGUGACCGGAGGACAGCACAGAGAAACACCUGCCCUCCCCUGCCCCCUUUGUGGAGCUUCUGGAGCAGAAGAAGCCAGUCUCAGCCAUAGGACAUGGACAUUUGGGCAGACCAACUGGAGAGAUGGUGCAAUAAGGCAGGGGAGAAGACCCUCAAGUACAGGACAGAGAUCUAUGUGCAGGAGGGGUAUAUAAAGGCGAUCGAAGGCCUGGAAGCAGUAGACACCGAACAGCUUGUGCUUCUUGUCGGGGAAGCCGACAAAGCGGACGGCUGCCUCUGUGGGGCUGC